CCUACGGGUGGCAGCAGUGAGGAAUAUUGGUCAAUGGGCGCGAGCCUGAACCAGCCAAGUAGCGUGAAGGAUGACUGCCCUACGGGUUGUAAACUUCUUUUAUAAAGGAAUAAAGUGAGGCACGUGUGCCUUUUUGUAUGUACUUUAUGACUAAGGAUCGGCUAACUCCGUGCCAGCAGCCGCGGUAAUACGGAAGAGCCGGGCGUUAUCCGGCUUUAUUGGGUUUAAAGGGAACGUAGAUGGGUUGUUAAGUCAGUGGUGAAAGUUUGCGGCUCAACCGUAAAAUGGCAAUUGAUACUGGCAGCGUUGAGGACAGUGGAGGUAGGCGGAAGUUGUGGUGUAGGGGUGAAA
rnacentral:rRNA from 1 species